ACUUCUCCGUAUCAGACUUAUGGUGGUAAGCUCCAUCGAGUAUGAUACUCCAUUCACGUAUUAUCCUCGAUUUUUUUAAGCACCGAACGGUAUUAUCCUUGAUUUUAAUCCCGGUAUUAACUUUAGUGCGCCGAUAUUGGGGCACUAAAGUUAAUCCGAGAUUUUGUGUAAAGUGGCUGCGUGCUUGUAACAAGAAUUCACGCAUACCGUAUUAGCAUCGAAAACGUCAGAAGAAAAUGAUAAUCAAAACAAAAACAUCUCGUCGUUGAGUUGUAAUUUGUCGCUAGGAGUGCAGAUUUUCUUUCUUCAGCAACAUAAAAGAAUACUCGCCGGGUUGAGCAGGAAUGAGCUGAUGCAAAGGUUAAACGAUUGGGCAAGUAAUGUGGAUUCUAAAACAUUAGCAUCGGCACAGUCGAACAAGCAAAUGCAGUGCCUAAUUCAAAUAACGAUCGAAUCGUUGAAGAUCCGUAAGAGGACGAUCAGGUGAAGAAAAUGUUCUGAGGUUAUUGAACGGUAAACCUUCUGCUACACCUGGAUCGAAUAACUCGUCAAACAGGAAAUGAGUAUGCCACUUGAGCAUCGAAAUACGAAUUCCAAUCGACCUGUUGCUGAAGCAUUUCAACGACGGUGACUGGAUCAUAUUAACUCUAUGAAAAUUUGGCACCCUCAGGACGCCACUUCUUCCGGACCAUCCAGAAAACGUUCUUCUUCUUCUUUCUGGCAUUACGUCCCCACUGGGACAGAGCCUGCUUCUCAGAUUAGUGUUCUUAUGAGC